rnacentral:rRNA from 1 species
AGAGUUUGAUUCUGGCUCAGGAUGAACGCUAGCGGCAGGCUUAACACAUGCAAGUCGAGGGGCAGCGCGGGGUAGCAAUACUCUGGCGGCGACCGGCGGAAGGGUGCGUAACGCGUGAGCAACAUGCCCGUGGCAGGGGGAUAAGCGAUGGAAACGUCGUCUAAGACCCCGUAACAACAGAGUCCGCAUGGAUUUUGUUUGAAAGCUUCGGCGGCCACGGAUUGGCUCGCGUCCCAUUAGGCAGUUGGCGGGGUAACGGCCCACCAAACCGACGAUGGGUAGGGGUUCUGAGAGGAAGGUCCCCCACAAUGGAACUGAGACACGGUCCAUACUCCCACGGGAGGCAGCAGUGAGGAAUAUUGGUCAAUGGGCGGAAGCCUGAACCAGCCAUGCCGCGUGCAGGAAUAAGGCCCUACGGGUCGUAAACUGCUUUUGUACGGGAGCAAUAAGGGCCACGUGUGACCUGAUGAGAGUACCGUACGAAUAAGCAUCGGCUAACUCCGUGCCAGCCGCGGC